UACGAAAGGGGCUAGCGUUGUUCGGAAUUACUGGGCGUAAAGCGCACGUAGGCGGCCUUGUAAGUUGGGGGUGAAAUCCCGGGGCUCAACUCCGGAACUGCCUUCAAGACUGCAAAGCUAGAGGACGCGAGAGGUUAGCGGAAUUCCGAGUGUAGAGGUGAAAUUCGUAGAUAUUCGGAAGAACACCAGUGGCGAAGGCGGCUAACUGGCGCGUUUCUGACGCUGAGGUGCGAAAGCGUGGGGAGCAAACAGG
rnacentral:rRNA from 1 species